GUGUGGGCCCCGCUUUCCCCCAGCGCUGGAGACUCCGAGCCCGGCCGGUCCCACAUUCCACGCGAGCUGAAUUCCCGCCCGCAUCCCGCCCGGGCAGCAGGGAUUGCCGGCUCCGGGAGGCGCUCGGGCUCCGAGAAGCGGCUCAGCCCCGCGCCCCUCCCUCCUCAGUACCGCUGCCGGCGGACCAGGAUUCCCGCGGGUCCUGGCGGCUGCGAGCGCGAGGCGGCGCGGAUUCGCGGCUCGGUUCCGGCGCGACUGCUCACCGCGCCCGCCUCGCCUCCCGCGGCUGCCAGCGUGCACUGGGCGCUCCUCGGCGCGUCUGCCCGGCCCGUCUCGGCUUUCCUUCUCCUUCCUCUAGUCCCAGCGUCACAACUCCGCCGACCUCCUCUGCCCUGAGAGCGCGUCCGGUGCGGGCGGAGUCGGACGGACUCUGGCUUCACGCCUCGCGCGGGCACACCUUCUCCCGGGCACUGAGGCCCAGUUAUUAGGGGAGGCAGAGUCCUUCUGGAGUUUGACCCUUGGAUUCCAUCCAGAGCAGCCUCCAAAAUGACACCUUUGAAGUUGUGUAUCGAGCUGGGGGAUGUAAAGGGAGGAGAAGAAAGAAGAUGAAGAGAUACCAGCCAGCCUUAAGGAGUGGACAUCCUGCCUGGUGAAACUGAACAAGACACCUACCGCAUAUGGAGUUUCGCUCUGUCGCCCAGGCUGGAGUGCAGUGGUGCCAUCUCGGCUCACCGCAACCUCCACCUCCAGGUUCAAGUGAUUCUCCUGCCUCAGCCUCUCAAGUAGCUGGGAUUACAGGAGCCCUCUCCCACCGCUCCUACACUGCUGGUAAAAGGCAGCCGCACUGCCUGCUGGAAGACCUGCCAGCUUGGGCUUCAGAGCACUUCUGCCUCAGAUCCACGACGAUCCCUUCUGUCAUCGUGGGACCUUUCCUGGGAUUUGAUUUAGGGCGACGCUUCCUCCUGUCUGUGUCCUGAGUCCUGCCUUCCCUGGCUGGUCCUCUUUGCUUAGUCACCCAGAUCAUUCCCAGACAGCUGCGCCCUGGAUAUGGCUCCUCUCAUGUGCUGCCUGGAAAUGUCUCCUCUCUUCUCACCUGCUGAGAGGUCCUUCUGGGCAGGGACUCGGGCAGAUUCAUUCCUGCCUGCCCCACAUUUCCCUAGCCCAGGGCCUGGCCCGUUGCAGUGCUGAAGGAUGAUUCUGGUAAGAAACAAGGUACUCCAGCUCACAUCUUGCAAUGAUUAUGCCUCCCCCACUCUCCCUUCUCCUUGCAGUUCUCUCUCUUCACUGAUGAUUUUGGAUGCAAUUUAAAAUAAAAAUAUUGAUUAAAAAUGGAAACUAUAUAAAUAAAAAUAAAAACACUUAACAUCAA